UUCAGCACAGAUUGAGAUUUUUGAUAGCCGAGGUUUUAUCUUUGAGCUUCAAAACCAACAAUAUUAAUGAGAAGCUUGGCAUCUUUCACUGAUCGAGUCGAAGUUGAUUUUACGAGGAAAGAUAAGACUUGGAGAAGUUGAUUUUACGAGAAGUUAUGGCUCAACUCUACGGAGAGAUGUUGGAUUGCCUGAAAGUCAACAGCAUUGUUACCAACGAUAAUCUGUUGGAUCGUCUCCGGUGUUGAUAUUUUCCGAAAUAUCAAUGCCGAAUUUUACAUACCGUAGAGUGCCAAGACAAAGAACACAAAUUUGGUUGCCUUAAGAGAAAAGGUGAGAGGUAUGGAAGUUCAUGAAAUUGAAAAACUUGUGAAGAAUGUAUUCGUACCUGAUGAAUGCUAUGAAUUUCCUAAAACUGUUCAUGCAAAUGGUCGCAGUAGGUCUUUUCGACAUUAUUGGCUGAAGGAUUAUCUUUGGCUUUCGUAUUCUCCAAGUCUUAAUGGUGGUUUUUGCUUACCAUGUGUUUUGUUUGGUAAUAGGUUUCCCUCCAAAAACAGUCGAAUUAAAAAUUUUUUCUGAGCCAUUGACACAUUGUCCUGAUGCUAAAUGUGCAUUUAAAAGGCAUAUUAGUACAUCAUCAGGUCUUCAUGUUCACACUUCUGCUUUUCUUAAGGACAUCUUGGAUCAGAGUUCCGGUAAAAGCCAGCCAAUAAACGUCAUGAUUGACAGUAACUUAAAGAAAAAGAUUUCA